CCUACGGGUNAUGCCCUUAGUACGGCGAGUGAAGCGGCAAAAGCUCAAAUUUGAAAUCUGGCACCUUCGGUGUCCGAGUUGUAAUUUGAAGAAGGUAACUUUGGAGUUGGCUCUUGUCUAUGUUCCUUGGAACAGGACGUCACAGAGGGUGAGAAUCCCGUGCGAUGAGAUGCCCAAUUCUAUGUAAAGUGCUUUCGAAGAGUCGAGUUGUUUGGGAAUGCAGCUCUAAGUGGGUGGUAAAUUCCAUCUAAAGCUAAAUAUUGGCGAGAGACCGAUAGCGAACAAGUACAGUGAUGGAAAGAUGAAAAGAACUUUGAAAAGAGAGUGAAAAAGUACGUGAAAUUGUUGAAAGGGAAGGGCUUGAGAUCAGACUUGGUAUUUUGCGAUCCUUUCCUUCUUGGUUGGGUUCCUCGCAGCUUACUGGGCCAGCAUCGGUUUGGAUGGUAGGAUAAUGACUAAGGAAUGUGGCUCUACUUCGGUGGAGUGUUAUAGCCUUGGUUGAUACUGCCUGUCUAGACCGAGGACUGCGUCUUUUGACUAGGAUGUUGGCAUAAUGAUCUUAAGCCACCCGUCUGAACAACAGACAAAAAAAA
rnacentral:rRNA from 1 species